CUGGAGAAAGGAGGGAAGGAGGAAGAGGCUCUUGGUGAAGGCGUGUGUGAGGGGCUCUGCUUGCCCAGUGCCCUGCAGUGACGGUCACACAGGAGCCAUGGGUCAUACCUGUUGCUGAUCAAACGGGAGCGAUGGGUCACAGCUGCAGCUGGUGGAGCAGGAGCGAUGGGUCACAGCUGCAGCUGGUGGAGCAGGAGCGAUGGGUCGUGUCAAACACGUGUCAGUCCUGCCUGUUUGUGGGGCUGCACUAGUGCUCCCUGGCUGACCAGCUCCACUCCUGCUUUGAGAAGUUGACCUUGCCUUCUAAAAUUCUUGUCCACUCUGGAAAACAAGCAGAUAAGACAUCUUUACUGAGCUAGAAAUUCCUCUUGAAUGUACCCUCUUUAAUUUAUGUUCCCUCUCUCUUUGUUGCCUGCAGCAAAACCCAUUAACGGUGGCGGUUUGUGACACAACUGAAGGCUCCUCUAAUGGCAGCUCUCCCUGAUCGCACUGCGCUCCGGCUCCGGAGGAAUUUGCUGGUGCUGUGGUUCUCAGCCUCUCCCCUCCAUUUCCCAGGCUCCAGAGACUAAUCCUUCCUUCGGCUGGCUUUGCUGCUGCUAUGGCAAUAUUUUUCUCCCCCAUCGUGGUAAUCAUGCAAUGGUCUCUGAGAACAGCGGGAGAUGCGGUGCCUGUUAGAUGUAUAAAAGGUAAGAUGAACUACAUGUCAUAAAACUUUUAAAAGUUCCUUUUUUGUGUUUGUGCGGGGGUUAUUUUAUAUGGCUUUUGAUAUGAAGCUAAAAUUGCACAUCAAAAAGGAUAAUGCAUCUUUAAGCUGUUACAAUGACUUCUAAAUUUUUCAUUUAAUGUCAGUGAGGAAAAAACCCCCUCAGUUGGCUGAGUUACGUUGGUGAGAUGGCUGUUUCAUUCCAUAAAGUGUCUGCAGUGGAUUUGAACAGUAGGAAAUCCAAGGGUGAUAAAUAGCUAUUUCUAAGUAAAUUUCAUGCAAUUGCCCUUUGGUUAAAGUCUUUCCUCUCAGCACUUUCCUGUGCACAUAGCCCAACUAAUAAUAUUCAGGAGCAAGUGCUUUCCAGUGUGACAACUGAUUGCACUUUGAAGCAGUAAAUGGCUGAUUUCAUAAUUGGUAUAAUUUUUCACAAGUACCUGAAUGUCAUAUACAGAAAGAAUAAGCAACCUGGACUUAAUACGGGAGCUUUUUCAAUUCUCCUAAAAAUCAAUAAUGUAUUAAACCCCUCUAACUGAUUAAAAUAAUGUGAACCCUGAGCAGGUUUUGUGAGGAAGGCAGGUUUCUUCAAGGGUGGCAGAUUUAUGGCAAAAGGGUUAAUACAUGGGGAGAAUGGGGAUAUGUUACAGAUGGAGUCCGUUUUCCUAAUUAAAGUUUUAUCAAGAUUUUCCCCGUUCGAAUUGUUUCACUUAGUGCGAUGGAAAGGAGCAUUUCCUUCAGCGUUCGGGGCAGCGCCCGCAGCGCUGGCGUGCGGCACGGCGAGCACCGUCCUUGCCGAGGAUGGAGAUGAGCAGAGACGCGGUGUCUGUCCGCGAGCGGCUCCGGAGGGCGCGCUGCCCGCGGCAGGAGGCACCGGCGCGUUCCGGGGCGCAGCAGCGGGGCUGGGGGCUCCCACAGGCCUUGUCCUGCCGUCAGGGAGCAACAUUUGCUCAGGGGCCUCUUUGCAUCCAGAAGUUCAAUUAGUGUCGCAGUGUUGUGAAUGUUACUAACAGGGUUAUAAGAGAAAGAACCUCACUGCUGAGAGAUAAGCGGAGGUGGGGUUUUUUCCACCAAGAUUUUAAGAUUUCUUGAAAUCCUUUAAGACUAUUGUGGAAGACUGUUUGAAGAGCUAUGGAAAGAGAAUGUUUGUGAAGAGGAAAGCGAAGGUGCAGCCUGGCGGCGGGGGCGUGCGGGGGUGUCUGGGCGUUCGGCAGCGCGCACCCGCCCUCGCAGCAGCCGGGGCCUGGGGGCCAGCAGGGCACGUGCAGGGAUGCCUCGAAGGGAAGAUUAAGAAAAGCAUCACUUGUAUGAAAGCCCAGGGUACCAUGUCAGUCCCCGGGCAUCUGCCUGUGCCUGACGAGGUGCCGCUGUGUCCCCGCUUGCCCCGUGCCGGGCGGCCAGGGAGUGCACAUCGCCGCCAGACCCGGCACAGCAUCCCGGUCCCCAGCGAGGGUGCUCGCCUUCCCCGGGUGGUGACAUGCAGCUGGAUUGAGGAGUCUAUUUGAACUUCACUUCUCGAGAUCAAGAUCAGACAUCUUAAGCUCUGCAUUAUUCACGUUUGUCUAUUGUUUCUAACUCAUUUCCUAUUUUCCAGCUGAGGGACUCUGCCAGAAGCACUCUUUGCCAGAGAUUAAAACAAUUUAGGAAGCAGACACCCAAUUCCUUUCUCUGGAUAGCAGGCAAAUUGGAUAUCUGUGAGAAGCAAGCAAAUUUUAUUAUCAACAGAUAGUUUGCUACUUAACUACCCUUAAGAAUCCCCUGGUAUUUACAGGUUUUUAUUAGUUGUCCUGAGCAAACACGGUGCAUGCCCUGCGGAGGUGCUUCGGCCACCGCCGUGUCCAGCCCCGCCGCCUGGAACCCCAGGUACCAACGGUUAAACACAACUGGGGUUGGAAAGAAAGAGAAACUCAAAUGGCGCAGGCCAGAGGGCGGCCAUGGAGCCUCCGUGGUAGCUCCGUUCUGUCUAACCUGGACACCAGCAAAGCCUUUUGCUGCCCCUCUAUCGGCAGCACGGUGCUGCAGUUUGUGCUCUGCCUGCCUCUGUUUGUCUUGAGGCCGAGGGAUAUGUGAAAUAACGUAUGUCAUUAGCUGUGGCUCUCAUUGAUUUGUAUCAAAAAAGCUGGUUUAAAUGUAAUUGCCACCAAUUUGUGAAAAUGCGCCAUUAGAUAUGUAAAAUCAUUGGCUAAUGGAUGCACGUGGCAGAUUACUGAGAGUGGAUGGCAUGGGAUAAGGGAAUCAGGACCAUUUCUCAGCGUGGUAAGCAGGGUCUCAGGGCCAGGUUUGGGUACCUGGACGUGCCGGGGUGUCCAGGCGGGACCUGCCGCUUUCCUCCCGUGCCGGAGCUGGCAGCGCCAAGCGCGUGGGACAAUGGGAAUUCUGCAGGAGUCCGGGAAGACAAAGGGGAUGGCUCUUAAAAUUAUGCAAGGAUCAAAAAAAAUCAUGAGAUCAUUCAUCAGGAUUGCUGUAGUUCUUGACCACAUAGUCAAUGAUUUAUUUAAUCUUAAUAUAUUCCAUAAAGAGUCCCCAUAUUUCCAUAAAUAUGUCAUAUCUACCUAAUACAUAGUAAUGAACCUGCUCCAAGGGUAAAUAAAUAAGAUCUAAGCUCAGCAAGCCAAUGUUUAUCAAAGGGAGAUAUACAGAUAUUGAGUCCUUUAAAGUACCAUUCUUCACAGCAAUCACAACCAAGUUAGGCAAUUUAUAACAUGUCAAGUCAAUUAGAAAUCCCAGGGGGCUGCUGUGACGCAGCCGCGGGAGCACCGGCGGGAGCACCGGCGGGAGCACCGGCGGGAGCACCGGCGGGAGCACCGGCGUGAGCACCGGCGUGCCCGGCCCCGCGCUGCCUGCGCAGCCGCUUCCACAUGGGUGGCACAUUAUGGGAGCUCUCGGGGUUCAUAUGUAGACAGAUUUCUUAGUUUUUGUUUUGAGAAUUGGUUUUUAAGAAAAAUUGAGAUUGUUUCAAACUGAAAAUUUUACUUGGACUGUUUUAAUUCUUUUAUCGCGUUAUUUCCGGCAUGAUAUGUAGCAGUGCAUAACAUUAUGUAACCGGCCAGUCUGAAUAUUUUUAUACAAAUACACUGAAAACAUAAAAAUGCAGUUGCAAAGGGCAAUAACUAUUUGUUAGAGGCUGCACAUUUUUAAUCUUAUUUUCUAGAGCAAAAUAUUUCCCGUCUAUGUUGUAAUUAGUUUGACAAAGUCAAUAAUAAUAGAAUAUUCUGAUUAUGUCAAUAUGACAUGUAAUAUUAUGCACUUCUUCUACUAUUAUGCAUAUUAAGACAUGACUUGACAUGAUAUGACAGGUCACAUUAUGCACUACUACUGAUGUCAUAAAAUAAUGUAAAAGUAAUGAAAACAAAUUUUGAAAUGAAAAAUUUUAAAAUGAAUUUGACUUUUUCCUAAGAGAAAUUCCCAAGCAAAUAUUUUCCAUUUUUGUUUUUAAGAAGUUUGGUUCAUUUUCACCCAGAAGGCAAACAGCUUCUGCAGAGUCGGCGUUUCCCUGGGGACGGAGCCCUGGCUUUGAUCGGCUGCUCGGCCUGGCGCUUGCUCGCGGUCCCUGCAUGUCUGGGUGUCCGUGAGUCCAGCGCGCAGCAGUGUGUCCGCGUUCCCGCCCGUGUGCCGUGCUCGUGUGCGCUCCGGGCUGGCCGAGGCGCCAGGCUGGCUGCUGCGUGCCAACGCAGCCGUGCUGCGGGACAGCAGCGCUCACGGGCCGUUUACAGCAGCAAAAUGUCAGUCCUGCUAGUCCCAAUGCAACAGACCUGGAAAAUAUUCAGUGUGUUAAAAGCACAAUGAAAGCAAAUGCAAUUUAUUUUCUUUAUAGAUUAGAGCAUCUCAUCCUUUCGGUCCCAGGGGCUGGGGUGCUGGGGAAAAGUGGGUGCGUGGUCCUGGCCCUUUGGGGUGGCGUUCCCUGCUCUUUGGGGACCUCUGCUGCCAAAUGUUCUGAGCAUUUGCAGACGAUGUGGGUUACUCAGCUUUUUCCUGAGCAAAACGUUUUAUUCUUCAUCCUUGACUCUGCUGCCUGCUCGUUGCUUUGCACGUUUGCAAUAGUUAGGGGUUUUUUUUGCUUUUAAAACUUCUCAGGAGGAGCAUGUGGAAACCACCGAAACCCCGGGGAAUGGGGCUGUGUCCUGGCAGACGCGGGGGAUGAAGACAGCGGCUGACACCAGACUGGCACGCGUGUUACUUGUGAGCUGCUCAUGUGAAGAGUACAGCGCGCUGAUCCUAAUUUAUAUUCAUUUUACAAGGAUACAAUGGUAAUUCUCAGUUCCCAGAGACACGGUUUGGAAAACAGCUAUACCAGGUUGCUGGCGAGCUGCGUGCUUACAAGCCUGAGUCUGUCCUGUGCUCGUGUCCACUGCAGUUGUGAAGCUGUAGCUUUCCUGUGCAAAUCAUUACAAAAAGGUGGCACUUGCUUACAGGCAGGCAGGAGUUUCAGUAGCCUGGAGGAGAAAAUCAGGAAUCCAACAUGGGCACCAGGGACAUAGACUGUGCUCGAUAUUCUCCUGCCUGUGAACCAGUCAGAUAACGCAGCGGCUAGGAUUCUGAUUCAUUUUUAAUGAAAUACUUUUUUGCAACAAUCCUACAGCAGCCCCAAAUGGUGGCAGACAAGAGGCUGCCAGGUGGAACAUCUCCUGCCUGCGCUGCUGCGGAGCCGCGCUGAGGGAGCGAUGGGACGGAUGCGGACGGGACCGGGGCUGGUGGCCGGCGGCGGCUGCAGAGGAGCGGAGCUGGUGCUGCUACCUUUGCUUCUAAGGCUGCAUCUGAGAGCCUGGGACUCCGUUUACCUUUCAAAAGAGGAAAGGAAGCCCCGGUGGAGCUGGUGCGAGGCAGAGCGGGUCUGCACGGAGAGUGAUGAAGUGUACAGACGCCCAGAAGGCUCCGGAUCAGGGUUCUCUGUGUUUUUCUGCAUGGACAAAGCCUUGGCCCUGCGGGACAGGAGGGCCUGACGUCCGCAGUGGGAAUUCCUGCCAGGCUGCGGGUUAUGCAGGACGCACCGUUUGUUUCUCAUUCCUCCCACCUCAUGCAGGUAACAACAAGGGCACGGCAUUAUAAUUAUGCAUCUGAGUGUCAACUUCACACUGAUGAUCUGUUAUGCAGUUGUGAGGAUAUUUAAACAUUUGCAUUUAAAAAGCGCUUUCAGAAGCAUUACUAAAUUUCCCUUGUAAGGAUAUUGGCUGAAAAUGACCACAGCACAAGAUGCAAACACCGGUGAUGUGGAGGAAGGGAGUUAUUUAACUGUUCUAAUGAGUACACAUGGGAAAGCAUUUGCAGUGCUGGUUCAGCUUGGCCCACAGAUUGGAAAUCCCACUGUCUGAAACCUCCUCACACAAAAAUAAUGCACCUGUCAAGCUACAUACAUGGAACUGGCAUUAAACAUUCAGGCUUAGAAACUAGCCAUCACUGGCAUUGCUCUGUGUAUCCUUGGUGCUGAUUAACUGAUUAAUUGGUAUUUAAUUGAUUGCACUGUCAGAACAGGACUUUAGCAUGUGCUGAUUGUCUCACUGACUGUUACUAACAAGUCUGAAGAGCAUUUAGUGCAAAUCUGUAGGACUUGUGUAUGUAAAAGGUAAGAAACUGGUUUGGUGGCAACAAAGACCCAAGUUUGUGGAGCACGGUCAGUGAACAAUGUAAUCAUUCACACAGAAAGGUCUUUCUCCUUGCUUUUAAAAUAAUUGUUUAGAGGAAUUUAAAUUGGGCUGAUUAGACGGGGUAAGAAGAGUCCUCUGUUCGAUUGCCCCAGCAAUGUGCCGUGCUCCUGUCUCUACUCAGAAAGCUGUUUGGAGUGUUGGUGCCACUGUUGCGCUGCCCCGCUGUCCCCAGGAGGUGCCCGUGGCUGGCGCACAGCGAGGGACCGGCCCUGGCCAGGCUGCGGCUCGGAGGAGCAGCCGGGACGGGCUUGGCCUCGAGCACGGGCAGGGUCCAGCCCGCCUGACCAGCGGUCCUGUGCACGUACAGACCCUCCUCUGCUGUUUGUCAAGAGCUUCCUGAAAGGCCGUUCACUCUGCAGUUACAGCCUGUAGCAAUCUGUCCUUUUCUGCUCAAACAAACCCUUUAUAGGCUUGUUCUUGUGAAAUUUAUGGGUUGUUGGGUGAAACAUUAGGAAACAUUACAUCAAAAAUGUAGAAUGCUUUUCUCAGCCCGAACCAAGGUCCGUGGCAAGUGCUGGCUGCUGAGAUCUGGUUCUGAUGAGCCUUUUCUAGGGCUCCUGGGUACCAACAGCCAGCACCGGGAUGCCAGGACGGGGUGGGUUCAUCCAUGUGCCCCUUCAGCCGGUGCCAGGAUGAGGGACUGGGUUAUACCAUCCGAACCGUAAAGGUGCAGAAACACAUUGUGGACUGCUCUGGUUUUUAAAAGCUGCAGCUCGGGGUGUGCUGGUGAACCCCUGCGCUCCCCGGGGGACACAAAGCUGGCUGAAGAGCAGCUCUAACCCACACACGAGAAUUUGCGGGGGCAAGUCGUUUUCCAGAAGAGCCACCAGACAGUUGUAACAACGUUGUCUUGCUGUAUUAGUUUAAUGUCCGCUUGAAUCACUGACCUUAAGGUCUGAAAAGGACUAAAUCUAGAAACAGAUGAUUUUUUCCAUGCAACAUGACAGAAGGGCUGCGGUCGCUUCCAAAUGCAAUUGUACGUUCAGUUAUGGAAAUGCCUCGUUCCCGGCUGCUUUACGGAGUAAACCGAGCCCCGUGCUGUCGGAAGGAGUGCGACCCGGCGCUGCCGGGGCCUUUGUGCGCCGCGGCGGGAGCGGCAGCGCCGAACCAAUGCUACCCCCUGGUGACAGACCCGGCGGUCAGCGCCGCUGCCUGCGCUGCCCCUGCUGCCCCCCCGCUGCCUGCGCUGCCCCCGCUGCCCCCGCGCUGCCUGCGCUGCCCCGCUGCCCCCGCGCUGCCUGCGCUGCCCCUGCUGCCCCCGCGCUGCCCGGCCAGGGGACACGGCGCCGGCACCCCCGGCAGGGCGGGCGCUCCUGCGGGGCCGUUCCCGGGGCCGUUCCCGGGUGCACGUCGAGCAGUGCUCCUGCUGUUCCCGGAGCGGGCCGGGCCCCGUUUCCCGCGGGCGCGGGGGCACGGCCAGAGCAGGAGCAGCGGUGGAGACCGGCCGGAGGCACCUCGGGGUGCAGGGGCUGCACCAGCAUCCAGCGAAUGCAGACAGCGGCCGCUGGGUGCAGCCAGGGCCGGGGGGCUCACCCGCCUGCCGGGCAGGGGGCUCCGCUGUCCCGUCCAUCCCGGGUGCCUGUGCAAACCCGCUCUUGAAACUUCUUGCAGGAGUUCAUGGGACUUGUCCCGGGACAGAGCACCAGCAAAGCUGCAGCCUAGCCUGGUGUGCUGUGCAGCCUGGAUCUCGCAUCUCUGCGUUAUACUGCUCGCUCUUUGCAUCUUGUUAAUGAAAAGCAUGGAUGUAAUUUCAAUUAAAGAUAAUUACAUAUUUAAACUUAACAUUAAAUUCUGCACUAAAACAAAAUUACAUGAAAUCUCAGUGUGCAGCCGUGCUGCAAGGCAGCAUGUGGGGCAAGCGGGGGAAGGAAAUGCUAUUAUGCAAAGCGAGCUGAUCCUUCCCACACGGAUCUCCUGCCUGCACGAUGCUCCCCUGUCCAGUGAGAUAAAUCUCAUCUGUUCCCACAUUCCGCCUUAGUAGGUGAUUCCUCUCGCUGGGGUUCGCUGGGCAGGCCUGGCAGCCACAAGCGUUACUGCAUUGUACGGUGCAGACGAAAAGGUGAAUUCCAUGGGUGAGGUGGGUACGGGUGGGGCUGUGGUCAGAGCCACCAUUCCCGGCAGCAGCUGCUACCUUGGCCCAGCAGCCAGGUGCCAGCGGCCUCUUGUGUCCAUGGGAGGAGGCCAAGAGAUGCUGCAGUGGGAUGGACUCUGGAGUUAGCCUGGGCUCAGGGUCCUGAGUAAAGCUGGGACAGUGUUUUGAAUUAGUGGGGAAAACACACAGCUCCUGGACCACUGAAUGCUUUUGUGAAAUCAAGCAAAUUUCUUGGCCUCAAAAGCAGUUUUCUGAAAAUUGAAAACUUUUUUGAUUAUUCUUUACAAUUCCCCCCAAGUCCCAAACACAACAUUUCAUUCUUCCAAAAGCAAAUGCUUUUAUUUUCUAUCCCCAAACACACUGAAAAUUACUGGUUUGAGAUGGCAUAAAUUGCUUUUUAUUCUGCUCGCUACCUGUUCGACCAGCAAAUGAACCCCCGACUCUCUGCACGAGGGCUGGUGGUCCCCUCAGCAGGCUGCGCCCCAGCGCCUGGUUCGUCUCCGCAGCCUCCGGCGCCCGCGCGGGGCUGCGAGACCCGGGGCAGGGGCAGCACCCGCGUGUCGGUCACUCACCUGGGAGGCCAUACAGGGAUAUUUUGUUCCUGCCUUUAUAUACUGCCUAAAAAUAGACAGGCAGAGGAUGAGCGAGCCAAAGCCAUGCUAAUUCAGACCGGCUUAAGGCUGUGCUGAUGAGGCCUGGAUUUCAGAGGCACAGCUAAGCAGGUCUCCUGCCCUGGCUGUGGUCAGAGCUGUCUCUGGGCUGGGCUAGAGGUGACAGAUAAUAAAACAUGAAAGUUAUUCAUUGUGUGAUUUGAUUUGGUAGAAAAUUCUUGCUGGUCCUGUAAUAAUUAUUAUCAUUAUUGAUUAUUGCAGUGUGGCUGAGCAGCUGCAGCCAAAGGCCAGAGCCCCGCGGUGCACAGUGUGCCCUGGGACCCUCACGCCGCUCCUGCUCUGAACGUCAACUGGACACAAACACAGCACUGAAACUGCGGUUUGUGCGGUGUAGCGGUCAGGGCUGCCAGCACAAUUCAUAGCUGCUCCAGUCUGAGGACAAGAAAACCAAGACUUUACCUGAGCAGAUGUGGUGCAUCUUCACUUGGUGCAGACUGUACAAGCAUUAGAUGCUCAUCCUGCAAAGAACAGCUGGGCACGCAUGGGGCACCCACAAAGCUCGAUGGGACUCAGUGUCUGUGCGCCCCGCUCGCCGCCCCCCGACAGCCCCGUGUCACCAGCAGGGCCGCUGUCACCCUGGCCCUGGCCUGGCCGCUGCGGCUGCGGGUCGGAGACCGGAGAAGCCCCAAAGGGCCAGCAGCAGCCUGGGCUGGCAAGCGCAGCGCAGCUGCAGCCCCGUGCUCCACGUUAUCUGCACCUCGUGUCUGAUCUCCAGCGCGAUUCAUAAGAAAACAGUUAACACGCGGCUGACAUAUCUUUGAUACAACGAUCAUACUGAGGAAGCAGCUUGACCCCCGAAAGCUCCCGCGAACGGUGGGAUUGACACUUCACAUUGACUUUGCUUCAGGCUUAUCAACAAAUCUCAGCCCAUUUUAUUAAAGAGCUGCGUGUGGCGUGUGGGACGCGCCAGCUCAGACAACUUCAUCUGACGUCCUCGGGAGCCAGGCGAGGUGGGCUCGUUCUCAUUUCUGCGUUCACUUUGCUGGAGAAUUUAACUUUACAGAAACUCCGGGUGGGGUUUGGUGAAGGCUGGAAAGUGGUGAGAGCCCACGGUGUUUCCGGGCCCAUCCACGAACAAAGGGGGAGCAGGCGGCGCUGGCUGGGGGUGCGAGGGCUGCGGUGCCAAGCAGUGGCUUGUGGCACCGUCGUGGUGUCCCUGGCAGUGUCCAGGCAGUAAAUCACCGCGGGGCUCACUGCUGAAUGCCACAAUCCCACCCCAAACCCAGCCAAGCCUGCUCAGACAGGCCACAUGGGCAACUCUGACUUUUCUAGGCUGGUUUGCUUGGUUUAGGCUCUAUUUUUUAGCUCAGUUUAAUGUGUAUUUCAUAUUUUUAGCCCCAAAAUAGGGCUGGGGCAGGGUCCCCAGGAUGAGAAUGAGGGCAGCAAGCAGUCAGCAGGAUCCACUGCUCUGAGGCGUCAUGUGGUAAUUAUGUCUCUUUUUACUCAUGCAAAUUUUAUCAAUAUUAUUUAUAUAUUCAAAGCAAUUUAUAAAUAAUAUAUACAUUUAUGCUAAGGUAAUUGCCUCAACUAGAUUAUUUGUCCCAGUUUUUAUUGUCUAUCCAGGUGCUGAAUAUUAAAGGUACGGUUCCUCGUGCGCAGCAGUGGUUCAGAGCUGGCUCUUGUCGCGGAACAGCACGUCUGCGUCUGCGGGUCUGGCGGGAGGGGACGGGGAGGGCGGUUU